CCUUCUUUGUCCCUCUUAAUUAGUCUUGGUUUGAAAUCCAUUUUGUCUGCAAACAAGAUAGCCAAUCCUGCUUUUUUUCAGGUUUCUGUAACAUGCAGUACUGUUUUCUGCCCUUUAACUUUUGUUCUAUGAAUUUCUUUUUGAAUAAAGUGUGCUUCUUGUAUACAGCAUACUGUUGAAUCUUGUUUCUUGAUCCAUUCUGCCAGUCUAUUUCUUUGGAUUGGUGAAUUGAGACCAUUAACAUCAUGGUUAUAACUGAUAUGUAUUGACUUAUCUUUGUCACGACCUUUUCUUGUUGUUGGAUUCCCCCCACCUUUGCAUUUAAUUUCUUGUCUUGCCUGAUAAAUGAAUUCUAUUGGGCUUUGUGGUGUUGUGACCCUCACUGUCUUUUCCCAGGACAUUGUUUAAAAUUUUUCGGAGUGCUGGCUUUGUGUUCCUUGGGUGUUCUUCAUUGUGAAAGUAUAUUAUUUCUCCAUUAAUUUUGAAAGAUAGUUUUGCAGGGUACAUCAAUCUGGUUUGGAGAUUCUUUUCUUUUAGGGCUUGAAAUACUUCACUCUAGACUUUUCUUGACUUAAGGGUUUGAGUUGAGAAGUCUGCUGUGAUUCUGAUGGGUCUUCCUUUGCAUGUGAUUUGUUUCUUUUCUCUAACUGCUUGUAAUAUUUUGUUCUUCUGUUGGGUUUAUUAUAUGUCUAGGUGUAGAUUUUUUUUAUCAUGGCUAGGUGGAGUCCUAUAUUCUUCACUUAUCUCUAGGUCAAGUUCUUUUCCCCCACUUGGGAAGUUUUCUGCUAUUACUUCUGUGAGCAGCUUUUUAAAAAAAAUGUCAUUUGCAAUAUAUUCUGUUUCUUCUUUGACUCCAGUCAUUCUUAUGCUAUUCUUCUUUGCAUUACCUAGCAGCUGCUGAAUUGAUUUGUCACGAUCCCUUGGUAUUUUUAAGGAUUCUUUCCUUUCCUGGUCUUUAACUGCCAUCCUAUCUUCUCUAUCUGAUAUUCUAUCCUCACAUUGGAUCAUUCUGCUGCACAAACUUUCAGUGGAGUUUUUAAUCCCUGGAUAUAUGUUUAAAUCUGUUUUAUGGAUUCCAUUUCUUUCUUAUGCUGGGAAUCCAUCAUGUUUCUGAGUUCAUCUAUUUUUCAUCUGUGUCUUCUCUAGAGUCAUUAAUCAUGUCUUUCACUAAUGUCACCACCUCUGUUGUUAUAUGAGAAAUUAUUUCUGACUUCAUUUUUUUCCAGAUCCUCUUUUGUUGCCAGUUCAGGGAGUCCAGGUGUUUGAGUUUCCAAUUGUUCCAUCUCACUGCCUAGAUUUCCUUUCGGUGAUCUGGAAGUCUGAGUUUGCAUCUUGUUUAACUGCCUUCUUAUUUCUAGUUUUUGUUAUUGUUGAAGGAUUUGGUUUAAUUUACUACUUGUAAAUUGCUUAUUGCAAGUAUCUGUUUGGCUAGUACUUAGAGCCCUUAAGGAAUGGCUACUUCUUGGAUUAUCUUCCUGGUAUAGUUGGCCUUUGGGUUUUGUGUCUAUAAUGGUCUUUAAGUGAUCUCAGUCCUGGUAUACCAGUAAAGAUUAUUGACAAAGCAAUCAUAUCACCUUGCCAAAGUAAUACAAACAGCAAGAACAAUAGCAUCAAACACAGCUUAGAAUAUCACAAAUUGUGGUAGCUAUUAUUCUGACCCCUUUAACUGCAUAAACUAGACUUGUGGUUAUAUAUCAAAAUCAAGGACCCACCAGAAAUAUGUUUACAAUUAGUAAACCCUUCAAUAUAGUGGCUUUACCCUCUGGAAAGAAGACUUAGCAGGAGUUAGGGGUGGGAUAGAGAGAUAGAAAGAGAGGUUAAGAGUAGGGCUAAAGGACACAGGAGGAUCACACAAACUUUGGGAAAUUAGUGAAGACAGGAGAAAAAGAGUGAAGGAAGGAACAGAAACAAGAAUGGAACAAACUAACAACAACAGGAAAACUAGAAACUGUAUUCACAUUCUUUUAAUAAUAAGAAUAAUAAAGAAAAUAACAGAAUAUUUGGACAAAAACAGGUGCAAGAAAGGAGAGAAAUGAAGAAAAGAAGGAAGAGAGGAAAAAAAAGAAGAAAGAAAAGGUUCUCUUCGAGGUGUGACUUUGCUAUUGCCGGUAUCCAACGUGGACAACAGUGUGCAGAGCCCAGUUCAUCAGUCUCAGUAAGUCCUGCCACUUUGUAAAUCUUACCAGAAUGUUCUUUAGGAAAAUGAUGGAAUGAAGGAAAAGAAAACAUGGAAAGCAGAUGGUGAGGGGUGAGGAUGUUUCCUAGAGAUGGGAUUUCGGAGUGGAAAAGAGGCAAGUCUUUUUCGUCAAGCCACAGAAUCAAUUUUGGACUCAGUCUUUUACCAGCUGUGUGGCCUCAGUAAAGUUUUUAAAUUCCUUUAGCUUCACCUGUAGAAUGUGAAUGUUUGUAAAGAUGACAGGAAAGAG
ensembl:lncRNA